CUCGCGAGCCCUACCUCGUCUCCAGUCGCAGCCGCCGCCGCACCCCAAUCCAACCCCGCCGCUGGCGAUCUCCUCGCCCCGCUGCGCCGCCGCCGGCAAGGGAAGGGAAGGGAAGGGAAGGGAGAGGGAGCGCCCAGAUCCACGCCCAUCGAUCUACCAGCUGGCCACCACCCCCUCCCUCCCCAGCCGGUCGCCACGGCGCCACCACCCCCUGGGCAGCCAUGCACAUCGGUAGGCGGCCACACGACAGGUGGGUCUCGGCCUCCCUCCUCCCAUCGUCCAAGGCCAGGAGCUCCCCUCCCCGCCGCGCCCUCGCCACGCACCUGUCCUCCCCCGCCGCGCACCUGUCCUCCCACGCCGCGCCGCCGCUGCUCGCCUAUGUCGUCCCCCGCCGCGUCGCCGCCGCUCGCCCUGCUCCCCAUCCUCGGCCUCACACCCGUCGCAUCGUCUCCUCCUCCCGCCCCUCGGUGCUCAACAGGAGGAGCCUGACUCGCCGCCGGCCCUCACGAGAGAGAGGUCUCCGCCCCCGGUCAGCUCUGGCUGCCUCCACCACCACAUAUUGGCAGGAGACCCCCGCCGCUCCUCCAUUGCAUGGCCAUCACCGAGAGGAGCAGCGGCUGGAGGCGUCGUCAUUGGCUGGAGGAGCAAUGGGCCGACAUCCUCGCGUUCAUGCACCUCCGGGAAGAACGACCCGAGGGGAGAAGCCCCCGAUCCGCUGUGCAAAGUGAGCGAGAUGUGGUCCCGUCGUUGUUGGCUGUUGAAUUUGUGCUGCAGUCCAUGCCCACCACGUCCGUGUCUUCGCCCCUUUGUCAUCCAACACAAACAGCAGAACGGAGCAACAACCGCGGUUUGCGAGGUCAGAGAACUGCCGCAGCUUGCUGCCAUGUACAGCUCGCCCUUCUUCUAUGCCAAAAGCCCCUCGAUUGAAGCUCCAACUCAAUUGCAAAUCAAAAUUACCAACCCAGAUAAUCUCUCCGGAACAACGCCUAGCUCGCCGUGCUCCACUCACUCUAACAGCAUAUCUCAUAACCGAAGGCAUGAACAAGUGCUUCAGUAUUGCUGGUGGCAAUCCAUUGCUUGAGGUGACAUCGUGUGCAAGAUUAUCCCCAUGGAGGGUGCUGGCACGGUGACACCCUCCUCGACCUGUUGAUCCCAUGACUUAGGUCACCGAGGCAGACGAGGUUAUGGAUUACCUGAUGAGAAGCGAGCCAUCGCCGGCGGGCUAACGCUGUUGCACGUCAUGGCGGGGACGGCCUUGUGGCAGUCGUGCGUGCGCUACUCGAGUUGGGCACCGAUGUGGAGGCCCCUGGUCAGAAGGGACGCGGCUGGAGCUGCUGCUGGAGGAGACGCGGAAGCGUUGGACCCGACUCCUUUGUGCAGCCAUGCUAGCCUGCUGGAAGAUCCAUGGCCUGCCUGGCCAGCGUGACCAUUGAACAAAUCGUCUCUCAAAACCCUCCCUCCUCCUCGCGGCAUGGAGCUAAUUUGACUCCUAAAGCCAGUAAGAGGGUUCCCUGGAUGGUCAAUAAGGGGAUGAUGCCAAUUAGUCUGGAUUCUGGAACAAUGCUAACAUUCAAAUCCUUGACGUGUUGGUGCAUCCGUGCUUUGAUAAAAAAACAAUUAGGUAUGCUUCUCAGUUCUCACUACCUCUGCGUGAAAACCAAAAUUACAAAUCAUUAUUUGUUAUUUCCAACUAUUUUUUGUGGCUGAUUGGACAAUAUUUCCGUUUCUAACUUCCUUCCUUCGAAUGACUUGCCAAUGAUCUUUCACAAUUUUAUAGUGUUUACUUUAUUUCUGUAACUGAUAUCCUUUAAAUUCAAUUUGUUUUAAAGGUUCACCAUGUUUCUUUAACAAAAUUUAUCCAGUGAAUUGGUAUGUCUGCUCCACUGGGCAGCAGCUGCAACCUUUCAACUUUGGCUCUUGCACCAUUGUUUCAUAGGUGUAUGCUCUAUUUUCCUGUCUAGUCAUUUGGUCUUUAUAUUCAGCUUGUGUUUGUCAAGAGCUUAUUCGGUCAAAGGUUAUAAGAGAUAUGACAGUGCCUUUGUUGCGCUAAGGAAUAUGGGGUCAUGAAAAAUCAAGGUUUGUUCUUGCUUCAUUAUGUUUCCCACCAAUUGUUUUGUUAUACACCUUGUUCUUACUACUUGCAUGUGACAGCCGGAGCAGUAGGCAAAAUUCUAUUUCUUCUUCUAGAUUGCUAUACCAUUGUACAAGAAUCAGAAUAUCAGUGCAAUUGUGCCUUUUCAGUCCAUAUUUAACAAUGACAAAAAAUUAUUUUCCUUUCGUUUCUGUUUCACUUGUGUCUGCACCGGAGAAUGUUCAUCCUUGCCUUCCAUCACUGGAGAAUAUUCAUCCUUACUCACUUGGCCUACUGUAACAAUGCUAAUUUCUCUGCCAUCUAAUUGCUCCAUACACUUAGUUUGUUUAUAUCUAGAGUUCACAUAGGGAUUAGUAAACAAAUAGUCUUUUUUAAUCAAACGGCCAUGCAGGUUUGAGCAAGCUCAAAGUAGGCUGGGGAGGAUGACCAAUGAUUAUACUGAUGUUGGUCAAAGCCAUAUUUUUUGUGCAGGUCCUAGCGAGCUCAUCGCCCACGUAAAAUAUUCCUUGAUGGUGGUCCAUAUUUUUUGUGCAUAUUUAGCUCAGUAUUCGGCCAAACACUUUAACUUGUAUAUCGUAAGAAAGAAAAUGUACAAUUUUUUACUGAGAAGCAGUAAAUCUCUUGAUUACUAAAAUUGUCAGACACCUUUGUGGUUCACAAGUAUACUUGUCUACGACCGCGUACGCCCACGCAUUCGAGCCACCAGGACCUUUAAGGAGACCUUGCCAGGCAAUACUUGGGCGCUGGACUUGGGACCAGUCAUUGAUUUUCCAUGCCUGAAACAGUUUUGGAUGCUAUGGCCACGGAUUGCUGAUGUUUAGCUCACGGAAGGAGCAGAGGACCCCAUAAGAUGGGCGUGGAAGAGUAGUGGCAUGUUCUCCGUUUGCCCUACAUAUGCCUCAAAAUUCGGAGGAAGCGAUGUGGUACCAUACGCGGACGUCACAUGGAACUCGAAGGCCGCCCUUCAAUGUCAAUUCUUCACUUGGCUAGCCAUGUGGAACCGUUGUUGGACGUCCGUUCGACUCACCAAGAGAGGCUUGCCCACCAUGACACAUGCCCCUUCUACAAAGCCGACGAGACCAUUAACCAUCUACUCAUCGAAUGCAUCUUCACACGAUGGUCGAUCGGUGUGGCACAUGGUGUGGUCGGCUAUUGGAAAUCCGGACCAAGCUCCCACUGUUGAUGAUAACUUAGUGUUAUGGUGUGACUCCAAAAGAUGUGGAGGUCAAAAGGUGAAUGAAACGAGGGCCAUUCUUUUAUUUUUUGCAAAAUGAAACGAGGACCAUUCUCUCGCUAAUCACUCGAGAACUUUGUAAAUACCGCAAUGCCAUUGUCUUUGGCGGAGCAACACUUUCUGUGCUUACGAUCACAAGAAAAUUUUGACCGAAGGGAGGACAUGCAGCAAGCCGGGCUACUCAAGGGUAGGUGGGUUAGUACAGAGUAGUUAAUCAUUGUGGCCGAUAGACGGUGGGCUACCAUGUAAUAUAU